AAAUGAGUACUCUAUCAAAUAGAUUAGUGAUUACUCAUAGUUAUGUAUAGUAUGUAUAUAAAAACAUGACUUCAUUAAUUAUUUGUUAUCAUUUUAUAAUUUUAUAAUAUUAUAUAAGAUUAUAUAUGAUGAUCAUUAUAUGACUGAUGAGUAGAAUGAACUUAUAUAAAUUCAAUAUUUUUAUUGUUAUAAAAUAAACUACGAUAACCUGUUUAAUAACAAAUAACAUAGGUUAUUACGUAUUAGUUUAAAAUUUUAUAUUAUGAUCAAUAUACAAAAAAAUUAAAGAAGAUUGAAUUCAAAAUAAAAACUGGAUAAUAAAACAAGUCAAACAAAAGGGUGGCGAACUGGCGACGGAUGUCGGGAGUGACCACUCACGAAAUUUCUCUAAAAGCUGUGCGUCCCAUUCUACCCCCCC